CUACGUGCCAGCAGCCGCGGUAAUACGUAGGUCCCGAGCGUUGUCCGGAUUUAUUGGGCGUAAAGCGAGCGCAGGCGGUUAGAUAAGUCUGAAGUUAAAGGCUGUGGCUUAACCAUAGUACGCUUUGGAAACUGUUUAACUUGAGUGCAAGAGGGGAGAGUGGAAUUCCAUGUGUAGCGGUGAAAUGCGUAGAUAUAUGGAGGAACACCGGUGGCGAAAGCGGCUCUCUGGCUUGUAACUGACGCUGAGGCGCGAAAGCCAGGGGAGCGAACGGGAUUAGAUACCCCGGUAGUCCUGGCCGUAAACGAUGGGUACUAGGUGUAGGAGGUAUCGACCCCUUCUGUGCCGGAGUUAACGCAAUAAGUACCCCGCCUGGGGAGUACGACCGCAAGGUUGAAACUCAAAGGAAUUGACGGGGGCCCGCACAAGCGGUGGAGUAUGUGGUUUAAUUCGACGCAACGCGAAGAACCUUACCAGGUCUUGACAU
rnacentral:rRNA from 1 species